UACGUAGGGUGCAAGCGUUGUCCGGAAUUAUUGGGCGUAAAGAGCUCGUAGGUGGCCUGUCGCGUCGGCUGUGAAAACUCGGGGCUCAACUCCGAGCUUGCAGUCGAUACGGGCAGGCUAGAGUUCGGCAGGGGAGACUGGAAUUCCUGGUGUAGCGGUGAAAUGCGCAGAUAUCAGGAGGAACACCGGUGGCGAAGGCGGGUCUCUGGGCCGAUACUGUCACUGAGGAGCGAAAGCGUGGGGAGCGAACAGG
rnacentral:rRNA from 1 species